CUCUUUUCCCUCCCGAGAUGCGGUUUCCGCUGAGCACGUACUUUCUCCCGACUGUUCGGGUCUCUGCUCUGAGUCAGACACUGUGAGGACUGCAGAGACUGCGCGCUGAGCCCGGGAGCCACGUCUCGGAGAGCCGUUGUCCAGGGACCUGAACAGCGCCUCGGGGAAGCGGGAAAGGCGUCCUGGAGAACGGAAAGUGCGAGUCCCGUGUUAGAAGAAUAAAGGAAGCCCUCCGGUGUGCAGGAGGAGACAGUGUCGGAAGAGGAGCUCAUCAGUGGCGAUGCAAGGCGAGGGAAGAUGCUACAGGUGCAGAGGGCGGAUCUGGAGCUGAGCAAGAAGAGCAGUUGGAAGAAGCAAAGAAAGGGCUCGCUCAGCCACCGUGGGAAAUUCCUCCUCAUUUUCCUCCUUCCUGGCACUGAGACUGGAGAGGCGCUGGCCUGGCUUCCCCAUCCCCUCUCAAAGACACUAAGGCCCAGUGCUGCCCAUUCAACCCCCUGGCAUGGCCGCUCCCCCGGGCUGGGAUUUCAGCACAGAAAGAGGAGUCGCCUUGCAACAACGUCUGCGCUCAGCCCUGCAUCCUACGAACUGCCAAAAUCUUGGCUUCCUUUUUGGAAGAAGGAAAAAGAAAAUCAGAGAAACAAACUGAGUUCGUCGGAAUGCUCUACAGCUCUUCUACUGCGGCAUAAACAACAGGCAGUUUCAUUUACAUAAAUCAGAUUGGAAAUUGAAAUGGAGCUGGGAUAGAACAGCAAAGCGGGAGUUGAGGUUCAUGCUGGCGUGUGGGAUGGAAACAAGAAUAGAUACGUGAAAAUCAGUGUCUACAAAAGGCGGAGAAGCAGCCGCAGCCCUGCCAUUCAUCUCGUUCGCAGAUGUCCUUUCUCUUCCUCUCGGCUCCCAUGGCUCCAAGCCGGGGAGCCUGGUGGAACUGGAGGCAGGGAGAGGUGGAGGUUACUGCCCAGUGAAGUAGCUUCCUGCACAAUUUUCCAACGAAUUUGCCUUUUUUUUUUUUUUUUGAGACAGGGUCUUACUACAUAGCCCAGGCUGGCCUUGAAUGUACUAUGUAGCCCAGGCUGGCCUCUAAGUCACAGCGAUCCUCCUGCCUCAGCCUUCUGAGUGCUGGGAUUACAGGCCUGCACCACCGUACCCAACACAAAUUUGUUUCUGAAUGAACCCUUGAUUGCUGUACUUCCAGGACAGAAAAGGAGCUUGUAGAAAGGUGCAGCAGAGGGCAAGGGCUCAGGAAACAUGCAGAGAAGGAAGGAGCCCAGGACAAGGGUACACCCCCACUUCCAGGCCUUUGCCCCACGUCAGCCUGCUCCACCUGGGCCCUCCCCUCCUCUUAAAGCAUUGGGCUGCACCUCUGCAAUCCCAUCCCCUCCCAACCCCACCUCUGAACACCGGAGACUCGGGACAUUUCAGAUGUCAACCUGAACCCGGGGUGAUACGCUAUCCCCGUUCACUGGGUGAGGGUGGGAGGCAGCCUCUGAUUACAAAACCCUCCCCAUGACUGUGGUCCCGUUUGGAGGAGGAGGGACUGGAUGUCAAGCACAUUCCCGACAGACUCCCGUCUCACUCGCACAGCAGCGUGGCCUGUUUAGGCACAUGUGGCUGGCUUAAGAGUUUCAGCCAUAACAGAGGCCAGGAAAGUGCUUAGUAACCUGCAGAGACCAGACUACAUUGAGGGCAGAAAUGGAGAUGCAGGUGUGUCUAGUUAUACCUGUUGAACAGCGGUCAGAGUGAACCCUAGUUCCUGAGCUGCAAAGGAGAGUUGAGUGAUGGCGUGAACUGUGGACCAGGCGCUAGAGCAGACUCCUUGUCCGGUCUGGUAGUAAAAGAGCAAUUAGGCACAUGCCCAUGGGCAUUUCACCGGAAGUCCAGCCUACACCCAACCUUCAGGCAACCCUUGCUCACAAAGACUGUGGGCAUCUCCAAGGGACUCCUGCAAGUCAUCAUGUUACCUGACCGUUUUCACCCUCUGCCCUCCGAUGCUAGUAAAUGGAGCAACUUCUUGGGGUGAAUUAACUUGCGCUCCUCUGCUUUUCUCUUAUUAGAUAUAGUGAGAUCAUUGGUGAAUGCAAUUCAAAUAAAAUGACAUUCUUUUGUGUCCAUAGGCUCCCAUGUGCCCAACAGCCGCCUUUAAAUGUCAGGCUCCAUCCUUUGGCAUUAGUAAGAUAUCUCAUUCCAUGGGAGUGGUAGGCUAUGGGUCUUUUGGCCUACUUUAUUUGUUUUUGUAUUUUGAACCGGGGUUUCUCUGUGUAGUGCAGACUGGCCUUGAACUCACUUAUAUAGCCCAGGCUGGCCUCAAACUC
ensembl:lincRNA